rnacentral:lncRNA from 1 species
AGUGCUUUUCAUUUCACGUUUCUUAUGCCUUUCUGGAUUGUCUUUCAUUCAUUUUCAGGCUUUCAUAGACUUUUUUUCUUUCAUUAUUCCCAAAAAUUAAACAACGAUAGCUAGUCCCUGUGAAAAGCCAAACCCUUUCUAAAUGAACAAAAGGAAUAAUAUGUGGGCACAGGAUUUUAAUUUAUACACAUCGUUAACAAACAUUUUACACAUGAUAAACUUUUGGGGUUCAUAUAUACUUAAUUUCCUCCCACACGCAAAGAACACUUGAAAAAAAAAUUACAAGUGUUGAAACUCUCCUAGCUAGGGAACCCACAUUGUCUCUGCACAUGUCAAUCCAGAAAGAACUUAAUAUUCUUCCUUUUUCAAACUGUCUAUUCUCUCCUGUUGGCUGUUGAUCUUUAAUUUCUCCUUCGUAUCUCUGAAAACGUCUAUAAAAGGUUAUGAAUUUACUUGCCAUAUUACUCCAGAAAGGAAAAUAUAUUCUAAUUCUAGCUUCCUUGUUUUACCAGGUAAGGGAAGAAUAUUCCAUGGGAAAUAAAAUAUUAUAAUUCUGGGGUUAUGGCCUGGUUGAAAGCUGGCACUGAUAACACGCCACGCUCUGGCACCCGCAAGUUUGUAGAAGACUUCUUCAAGUUAAGUCUUUUUAAUUCAGAUCACGUACAGUAUCGAUUGCAGGGCGUUUACACAACUGGAGAGCUUUGUUUAAUUGUUUGUUAUUUACGUAGAGAAGUAGGACAGACAAACCCUAAGUAACGUAGCUUGAAUGUUUCAGUGUUGGCAUGUAAACAGAAUUUCAUUUCCGGAGAAGCCUUUGACGGCCGCAUUCGGUGGGAAAUGAAAAUGAGAGGAAAGUAAUAAGAAAAAAAGGCUUAGGUUGAUUGAAAGAAAAUGGUCAUUUUGAGGAAAAGGUAAUCACUUUUCGGCGUAACUCUAUGAAGCAAAAUGUGAUAAAUUUAUACCACUACAUUCACAUGGUUUUGAUCAUACCAAAGUACCCUCCAACUCCAACUUCUUUCAUCUUGGCUUUACCCCUCUGUUUUCCUUUUUCAAAGGCUAUUAAUAUGUUUUUUUUUUU